CUACUUUUCAGCAGCACAUAUACUAAUAUUGAAUGAUAUAGAGAAGAUUAGAAUUUACCCUGUACAAGAAUGACACACAAAAUCCUGAAGCAUUCCAUAUUUUU